rnacentral:lncRNA from 1 species
CUCCUUCUACUUUCAGUCCACUUAGUCUAAAUAAUUGACCCAUCAAAAAUAUUUUACUAUUUUUUGAACCCCUUUUUGAGCUUAUGAUUGGUUUUUCUUCAUUCCCAAUAACUCUAAAUUAACUCUCUUUAGGUUGUUGACACCGGACUUUGGCCCUGGUCCAACAUUGGACAUUGUGCACCUAAAAUUAGGUAAAACACCUAAGUUGAGGGUAGCUACUGUAAAGAUGUUAGAAGUUUAACGAAAAGGUGAUUUAGAGCCAAAAGAAAGCAUUUGGCCCUGAUCUGUCUAAGAUAUUGUAUACCUUAACUGACUACAUCAGCAUAAGUUGAGGGUGGCAGAUAUAUAUAUAUAUAUACAUAUAUAUAAAAUGGGGGUUCUGGCAAAGUGUGAAUGAAUCAUAAAGAUUGUAAGUGAGCUGGUAAAGUAGUAACCUUGGUGAUACAAGACUAACUAGGGAACACAAAAAUCACACAUCAAACAGUCCAUAAAUUCACUAGGAACCAAGAACCAAAUGGUGACCACAUGCGGAUUCAAGAACAACACAAGAAUACGAGAUAUAUGGGUGUUUUGAACACCAAAUCAGCCAAGUCAAACUAAGAUUAACAACACAAUAAGAUGAACAAGAGGAGCAACAACACAAACGGCUUCACAAUAAUAAGAUACCAACGUUACAAGAUUACAAGAAAGUAAAUGAUAGGAAGUGAGACAUACACUACUAUAAUGACUAAGAACCAAAGUGUAUAUUAAACACUAAGACCUUUAAUGAAGAUAGUAGAAACACCUACACUUUACGAAGGACACAAGAGGGACUCUAAAUACGUCAAGCACUCCAUGAUCCAAGUAAGCAAACAACAAAAGAGAAUCCACCCUUUUGAUGAACCUAGUUUUGGACAAGUCUCUAGUGAGAGAGAACUUGAGUGUUUCAAGUGUGUUAUACAAUAUUCAACAUUUAAAAACCCACUCAUGAAACCCUAGAAUGUUCCUUUUAUAUUACAUUGCAAAUGGAAGACAAAAUAACCCUUGUACCUUUAAGAGAUAGGCUCCUCUCUAGUGUAGAAUAGUGGAUUGUUUUGGUGUGUAUUAAGCACUUAUCUUGCACACACACUUGGAAAAUUUCAAUGCACACCCACAUAAGUUCAUUUCCAUGAUUAUUCAUGUACCAUCCUCUCCAUAUUGAGAGGAAUUUUCCCACAAAUUCACUGCUUCACUUCCUUUAAUUGGCCGCUUCAAAAGAAAUCACUCAAAAUAGUCUGCAAAACACGAAGAACCCAAGAUCUCAAUAUUAACAAGUCUCGACCAACAUCUUCAUUUCAAACCUCGGCUUCCUAUCCAUCUUGAUAAUUGGUUUUAAUCUUAUCUGACUCAAGCCUCCUUUCAUCAUAUAAGCAUCAUCGUAGACUCCAUAUACUCCAUGCCCUUUCAUUCAUACUCCUCUAUAUAGAUAUAUCAGUUUUGGUGAAGUGGAGUUCAAUUGAGUGGGCUGUUUUGGUAAUGUGGAGCUUCAGUUGUGGAUCUUGGAUGGGAGGGAAUUGGCUUCCAAGACCUUCUUUUUGGACUUGAUCAACUUGCGGGAGAAGUGGUCUACCUUGUUCUUGAUUUUGAGGGUAAUUGGUAACUUGGCUCAUGGCAUUUUGUGGUAAACUUGGAGGGAGAAUUGGUCUACCUUGUAUUUCGAUUAUAGCAAGGGUAAAGGUUGUGAUGAAUGUCAAGAACUCAACAACAACUUUAUCAAGACCAACAACAACACCAACAAUGUCCAACCAAGACUAUAACAACCAGUCCACACGUCCAAGAACAACAACUUCAACACACGACCAUGACCUUGUUCACAACAACAACAUCAAUUUUAAAAGCUCAAAUCUAGAUCGACUCAAAGUGUUAAUGGCCAAGAAAACUAACACUUGAAAUAACAACACAAGAAAAAUAAGUCCUAGACCUAUACACACAACAUUCGUUCAAGAUACAACAACAACAAGUUCAACUUCUCAGCCAAGAACUCAAGUUCAAGAACACGUCUUUUUUUUUCAUAGCAAGAAAGCCCAAGAUUGGUAUUGUAAGAACAAAACCAAAGAUGGAUCUGAUACCAAAUGAUAUAAUACUAACUAGGGAACAGCAAAAUCACACAUCAAACAGUCCAAAAAUUCACUAAGAACCGAGAACCAAAUGAUGACCAUACGUGGAUUCAAGAAAAACACAAGAAUACAAGAUAUAUGGGUGUUUUGAACACCAAAUCAGCAAACCCAAACUAAGAUUAACAACAUAAUAAGAUGAACAAGAGGAGCAAUAACACUAUGAAUAACAACAACAACACAAAUGACUUCAUAAUAACAAGAUACCAACAUUACAAGAUUACAAGAAAGUAAAUGAUAUGAAGUGAGACAUACACUACUAUAAUGACUAAGAACCAAAGUGUAUAUUAAACACUAAGACCCUUAAUGAAGAUAGUAGCAACACCUACACUUUACGGAGGACACGAGAGGGACUCCAAAUCCGUCAAUCACCCCAUGAUCCAAGAAAGCAAACAACAAAAGAGAAUCCACCCUUUUGAUGAACCUAGUUUCAGCCAAGUCUCUAGUGAGAGAGAACUUGAGUGUUUCAAGUGUGUUAUACAAUAUUAAACAUUCAAAAACCCACUCAUAAAACCCUAGAAUGUUUCUUAUAUAUUACAUUGCAAAUGGAAGACAAAAUAUCCCUUAUACCCUUAAGAGAUAGGCUCUCCUCUAGUGUAGAAUAGUGGACUGUUUUGGUGUGUAUUAAGCACUUAUCUUGCACACACACUUGGACAAUUUCAAUGCACACCCACAUAAGCCUAUUUUUGUGAUUAUUCUUGUAUCACUUGUUGAGUAGAAUUCAAGACAAAGAGAGUUAAGUCUGAAUAUUGAGUCACUUUUCCCAAAAAUUUGUCCUUACCUAGCCUUAGAGCCUCAUUACAAGCCUGAAAAAAACCUGCUUGACCUUUUUGGAUCAAUUAUAAGAGAGCAUUAGAUGAUAAGAGCAAGCCUAUAGGUAUGUAGACUAUGUUUAUAACUUCUUUGAUGAGUGUGAAAGUUUUGAUUUUUAUCCACAAAAUAUAAUGAGUGGUGGAUUUCAUAGACUGUGAGGGCAACUUGAGUUACACUUAGUUUUGCUGAUCUCUGUGGGAUAUUAUAUCUAUGUUUGUGUGUGUCCUGAAUUAUAAACAAAGUCGGUUGUAGAUCCUAAUGUGUUGAGCCUAUAUGAGUAAAAUGACAAGUGAAUGGUUGUGUGAAAUCUAGUUUAAUAGUUAAUUGCUUGUCAUUGUGUUAUUCAUGUAUGUAAUUUGGUAUUGAGUUGCUUAAGGACAAGUAAUUAUCUUAAGUUGAGGGUGUUGAUGUUUCGACUUUUGAUAGAAUAUUUUAUAUCUUUUUCAAGGGAUAAUUGUAUGUUUUCAAGCAAUAGAUGUUGUAUUUAAUAGUAGAUUUUAGUGUUUUCAAGUUAAGGAGUUAGCUAAAAGAGAAACUUGGAAAAAUAGCAGAAAAAGGCCACUGACGGUCAAACUGGAGGACCGUCAGCCAUCCAAUAGACCAUCCGGGUGGUCGUCAGAGUAAAACAGAAGGGAACAACUGAAUGAUCUCUAUGACGGUCCAAGUGGUGGACCUUCAACCAUCCAACGGACCACCAACUUGAUCGUCAGGACGAAACAGAACAUGACUUCAUGGAGGAUCAAGUGACGGCCCAUGCGAUGGACCCUCGGGCUAGAGACAGUCCACCAAUAUGGCUGUCAACCAUUAACAAAACCUGACAUUUUGAAACCAUCAGCGAUGGUCCAUACGACAGACCAUCAGGCUUCCGACGGGCCGUCAGCCCGACCUCAACUUGGAAACGGCUUUUCUGAGUUUAAAUUUUAAAUCCUCUAUACCUGAGAACAUAUAAAUGCCCAGUUUAGGUUUUGUUUAUGUAUCUUUUAUCAUAUUUCCAACUUUGAACAUUAUUGUAACGUAGUAUUCUCUAAGAUUCAAGCUAGAACUAUGGAUCUAAACAUUUUAUGCCUAUUCUCUUUUGAAGAUUCAAGAACAAAUCUUGUGAUCUUUGUAAGUAAUUUUUAAAUUUAUUUAUGAGAAAUACAAUGACUUUUUUUUUUCUUCUAUUGAUAUAUGUGUCUAAGCUCCCAUAACUAGGGUUAUGGGAGCCUUGAUGUGAAUAAUUGUUUGAGGUUGUGAAAACAUUUGAUUUCUAUGGUUAACUGAAGUUGUAUAAACCCUUAUUCAUAAUAACGACCUUUCUUGGUUACAAACGUGUGAGCCCAAAAAAAUCACUUGUUCAAAUUAAAAAGUUCUUAUUGGGAAAAGAAGAGGUUUACAUGGAACAUAAGGCUUUAACCUUUGGGUUAAGAGUUGAUGCCUUAACGGGAUCAACCCACAUGAGAAAAUAAGUUGAAUAAAUUAUUGCAUCUUUUAAGUUCUAGAGAAUUGAAAGAUAAUCUGCGCAUCUAGGUUGAGAGACAAAUGGGUAAAUUAUAGGAUUCAAUAACUCUUUCAAUUGAAGUGAUUAAUUAGAAAUUCAAAAUAAGUCACAACCCUAGCUGCGUGAAUAUCUUGGUAACCAUAACUCUAGUUUGUCUACUCUCAUUGAAUUAUUAUUUGCAAUAAGAAUCAUUUACUAGAAUACUUUCUGUUACAAAUAACGAGAUAAAAUUUAUAAAUAAAACUCCCCCUUUAAUUCGGAACAUUUGAUCAACAGUCUAGUAACAACCAUAAUACUUAGUGAACACAGUAUUUUCUGUGGGAUUCAACCCCAACUUAGUUGGGUUAUAUAUUUGACAAUGACCACUUACUCUCUUGUAAGAGGGGUGUAAUUUGGGCGAAUCAUUGGGUUUAGUCUAUUUUGAGUAGCCAUAUCCACCUGUAAUGGCCUAACCACUGCUGUUGCCAAUGAGAAAAUAAUUUCCCUACCAAAAAUAUUUAGAGGGAGUGAUAAAAAAGAGACCCAUAUAAUAGUUGUUGUUGUUUCUUCCUCCAGAUUAAACAUCGGAUCCCACUUCAAAAUCUCAUAGAAUAUGAUUAGUUGCGAUAAUUCAUAUAAAAAUACAAUUUUGAUAAUAAGUGCACGUAAUCCUUUUACUGUGUCGCCAUAAUAAGGACAUGUCUGUUGCUUAGUAAUCCUAUGUUGCAUUCUCUUUUUAAUUCACAUUGUUUUGGAAUUAAUCUUCUUAGAUAUUGUAUAUCUAGCCAACCAUAAGACAAUUUCCCCUGCAUACUGCAAUUUUCAUUCACUAUUAUCUGAUCCAUUUUCUCUUAUUUCCAUAUAAUUCUAGGUUUCCCAUGCAAGUAUGAGAUGGGCUUAAAAGGUAUGAAUUUUUUAUUCAGUGGCGUAGGUUUUAAAAAAAUUGCAUAAUUAAUGUUAGGAGGAUUUGGGUGUGACACCCCAACUUAGGAUUAGGAGUCCCACAUCGGCAAAACAUAAGAGGGAUGUUGGGUAUAUAAGUAAGCAAGCCUUACUCUUUAGUGACGUGUCUUAAAGCCGUGAGGGUCUAGGUCCAGAGCGGAUAAUAUCACUAGUGGUCUGGGUUAAGGGGUCUCUCGAGCCUUUGUGGUUUGGGAUGCCCGUCGCGACCAGGGCCCCGGCUCGGGUCGUGACAAGAAUGGUAUCAGAGCCUCUCCUAUGUCAGCUCUGUCGAUAUAGGCUAGAGUUCAAACUGAGUUUAGGAAAAUUUGGGUAAGUCAAAGCAAACCUCAUUCCUGAGUCUAGGCAAAUCCCAUACGGUGAGGCAAACCUCAACAAGGACGUUGAGUCCAUAAGGGGGGUGUAUGUGGCACCCCAACUUAGGAUAAAGAGUCCCAUAUCAGCAAAAACACAAGAGGGAUGCUGGGUAUAUAAGUAAGCAAGCCUUAAUCCCUAGUGACGCAUUUUAAGGUCAUGUAGGCUUAGGUGCAAAGUGAAUAAUAUCACUAGUGCAUGGUUUGGGAUGCCCUUCCCGGCCAAGGCCCCAGCUCGAGUCGUGACAAGAAUGGUAUCAGAUUCACUCUUGUGUCAGCCCUGUUGAUAUGGACCAGAGUUCAAACUGAGUUUAGGCAAAUACCAGUAGGGCAGCGCAAACCUCAGUCCUGAGUCUAGGCAAAUCCCAUUCGGUUGGGUAAACCUCAUCGAGGAUGCCGAGUCUAUAAGAGGGGUGUAUAUGAUAUCCCACUUUAGGAUAAGAAGUCCCAUUUCAGCAAAAACAUAGCAGGGAUGCUUAGUAUAUAAGUAAGCAAGCCUUACUCCCUAGUGAUACAUUUUAAAGUUGUGCGGGCCAGGGCCUAAAGCUGAAAAUAUCUCUAAAGGGUUGGGCCAUUACAGGGGUCUCUCUGGCCUUCGUGGUUCAGGAUGCCCAUCGCGGUCAGGGCCUCAUCUUGGGUCAUGACAUUAGGUUGAUUUGACCAACCUCGAUCGAAGGUUGGUCGGUGGCUGAGAUAGUCAUAGCCACCGAUUGGACGUGAAAUCUAGAGUUUUGCAGCUAUAGGAUUUUUAGGUAGAGAGCAUUUUUUAUUAAUUUAAUUUACAUGUGGAGAAGAAUCUUUACUUCUUUUCACUUUUUUGCCUAGGAUAUUUUGUUAUUUUAUCUUAAUAAAUUAGGGUUUUUUUAAUAUAUAUGUACAAAUAGAUUAAUUAUAUAUGUUUUCUUGUCAUUGUAAAGAUAUGGUGACUAAACGACUUUAACAGUAGUGACAUUUUAAUUUCAAUAUGGGGAUUGUUUUGGUCAGAUCCUGAGGUAAGGUAUGCUAAUGAAAUUUGUAAUAUGAAAAAGAUUAGAGUAGAUGCAAAUGAGCUGCUUAUAAUGUUGUUUCAUAAAUUAACAUUGGAAUUAGGUGUUGAAAAAGUAGAAAUCGUUGAAUGUAGAGUUAACAAAAAGGGUAGUUAUUAUAUGUUAAAUACUAAUAGUGAUGUUUUAAGAUUUCUUAAUAAUUAGAAGGGUGGAGACAUUAUUGAUUUAUGUGAGAUACAUUAAAUUCGUGUAUCUUUAGUUUUUUAGGAUGAAAAUGAAGAGGAACUUGACCAAAAUUUGUCCUAAAAAAUAGGACAUGUUAGUGUCACAAGUCUAGGGCUGAUGUGGAACUCCCUAUACUUAUCACAAAUCUAUAAUAGUGAUGUGUCAGCCCCCCAAUCCCCUUAAUUAAAAAUGGUAGAGCUGAUGUAUCUUCUCCUCAAUCAUUUGAUGACAAUAAAAAUGGAGAUUUAAAUGAAAAUUAACCACCUAAGGUAAUAAAGAGAAAGAGAUUAUUUCUUUAGAAGACUUAGAUGAAGGUCAAGGUAAUAGCUUCUCUUUAUACCACCUUCAAACUUCUGAUUCUGAUGUGUAUCUAGCUAACACUGAUUCUGAUGGUGAUUCACUCUUUAAUGUUGAUGAAAAUAUUGAUUAUUUGAGUGAUUGGAUGAGGAUUUGAUUCAAACUAGACAGUGUAACAUUCAAUACAAGUUAAAUAAAAGGCUGACAGGGUGAAUCCAUAUGAGAUAUCAUCUUGUAUUGUAUGUAUAGAUGCUGGUUUUGAGGAUAUUUAUAAGAACAAAAAGAGAAUAUUUAAAGGUAAAUUUGGUGGAAAUGACUUUUAUUUUGGUAGCUCAGAUCCUGAUAGUGACAUUACUGAAGAUAGCGAAGAUAUUGUUGAUGAUGAUGAAGUGGUAGAUAUAUUACCUAAAAAUCCAUCUACCAAGAUCUAAUUUACUAAAACUACCAAAAAGGUUUUAUUUCAGUUGUAUAUAAUCUUUUUGAACUGUAUUAAGUUUAGAUAGGCAUUGAAACUUACCCUAUUUAGAAUGGUGUGAAUCUUAAGCUGAAACUUAAUUAAAAGGAAAAGGUAAGGACAAAGUGUAAGAAUAAGGAUUGUCCUUAUGUUAUUCUUGGAAGUCUUGAUGAUAACACUAAAAAUUUCAGUGUGAAUACUUACUUUUCUGUCCAUAGGUAUUGUAAAAGGUCAAAAAACAAGUUGUGUAAUUCUUGAUGGAUUAGUAAACAUUACAAGGAUAGAAUUAUGAGUGAGCUUUCAAUCAAAUUACAUCAGAUUCAAGCUCUAUUAAGUAAUAAGUUGUAUGUUAGUAAGGCAACCUAUAUAAAGGCAAAACUCAGAAUGAUAAAUGAAUAUUUGAGUAAUUUCAUGGAAGAGUUUGCUACGAUUAUGCUGAAGAGUUGAAGACCACCAAUUAUGAAACCAUUGUAUCUAUUAGGACAUCCAAGAACACAUUUACAAAAAAAAAAAAAUGUUUAUAGGAAUCAAUAUUUGUUUUGGAUCCUUGAAAAGUGAAUGAAAAGAGAAGUGCAUAAGGAUAGGUGGUUUAGAUGGUGUAUUUCUCAAAGAUGUAUGCAAAGGUAUAUUGUUUUCUUGCAUUUUCAAAGAUGGAAAUAAUCAUAUGUACCAACAUGGACAGUAGUUGAUAAAAAAACUAAGGACACAUGAUCUUGAUUUUUUAGGUGCAUCAAACAUGAUUUGAAGCUGACAAAUAUGAAGGUGAAGGACUAACAGUUAUGUCUGAUAUGCAGAAAGUGUAACAUCAUAUUUUAGUGUUAUAUAUAUAUAUAUAUAUAUAUAUAUAUAUAUAAAUAUAUAUAUAUUAAUUUACUGUAAUAAUUGAUAUUUAACAGUUGUAUUUCUAUUAUAUGAUAGGGUCUUUAUUUAGCACUUAUUGAUAUAUCAAAUGCCGAGUAUAGAUAGCGUGCUGGACAUAUAUGAGCCAACUGAAAUAAGGAGUGAAAGGGUGAAGAAAAGAGGAAAAAUUGUUAGUUGGUUGUCAGGGCAUUUUUUAAAGUGUAUUUGUAAGUAAAACUUGAUGAAAUGAGUUAGGAGAAUAAAUUGUGAAUAAUUUGUUCAAGUACAACAAACAGACAUGGUAUAGGACUUUGUUUAAAGAACAUAUCAAGUGUAAUGUGAUUGAGAACAAUAUAUAUGAGACUUUCAAUAGUUAAAUUUUGGGUGUCGGGUUAAAUCAAUUAUCACUAUAUUGGAGGAAAUCAGAGUUAAAGUCAAGAACAAGAUGAAUCAAAUAAGAGAGUUUUCAGAAAAUGGAUCACCAAUGUAUCAUCAAUGUCUAUGAAAGUUUUUACAGAGCAUGGUGAACAUGCAGCCAAAUGUGAGGUGAAGUUUAAUGUUGAUAUUAGCUUUGAGAUUGGUGAUCUAUCAUAUACACAUAUUGUUAAUAUCAAGAGGAAGGUGUGUAAUAGUAGGUCAUGACAACUAAAGAAAAUUUCUUGUGCACAUGCAAUUGCUGCAAUGCAUCACAAGGAAUAAAAUGUGAAGUCAUUUGUUGAUCACUGGUAUAAAAAGAAAACAUACUUGAAGACAUACAAUAAGUUUAUUCAACCUAUGGCAAACAUGAAGAUGUGACCAAAAAGCACGAGACUAGCAAUUGCACCGCUUGAGAUUACUUCAAUACUAGAAAGACCAGGUAAAAAUAAAAAGAAAGUGAUGAGCUUGUUAAGAAGAAGUUUGAAAAAGCUGCAAAGAAGUGAAGAAAAAUGAGAUAUUUUGUGUGCAAGAUUUUUGGAUAUAAUAAUAAAGGAUGUCCAACUUUGAUAAGUUGUGUUUUAAUAGCUUUAUAUUAAUAAAUUUUACUCUUUUUAGUUGUGCUUUUGACUUUAAGAUUUUUUUUGUAGAAAAAUAGUUUCACGGGUAGUUCUAGAACUGCUAGAGCAUUUGCUACUUAUGAGUUUACAGGUGCUGCAAGUGAGAGUCAAUUAAGCGUGGAUGCAGGUUUAAGUAUGAAAGCUAUCACUGUUACCUCAAAUGUUGUGAGGCAUGCAACUAACUCAAAAAUUGGUGUGAGGUCUGUAAAUGCUACAUUAUCUGCAAGAAGGCAUCCCAGUGCUACAACAACUGGUGUGAGUCUUACAACUGCAUUAACAACUGAUGUGAGGCUUGCAACCACUUUUGUCGUAUUUGAUAUUGCUACUCAACCAAUAAUUGAACAAUCAACUUUUAGUGUUGGUGCACAAAAUAGGAAAACUGAUGCAACUCUUGCAUACAGGAGACCAAGAUAAGAAGGGCAGAAACAACUUAUUUUGGUGUGUUGUUUGGACCAAGUAGAAGUGUAGAAAGGGUAAGUAUUCUAUCAUCUAAACAGACUUAACUGAUAUUAAUUAGUGCAUCGUUAACUGAAAUAUUUUAUUAUUUGUCAGUGAAAAGUUCAGUUCCAACUAAUAUUAUUUUUUAUUACAAAUCUAGCAGACUAAGGUGGAAGGAUAGAGUUGUAGUUACUCAAAGACAACUACAAAAAAAGAGCUACGGAAGAUCAAACUCUUCUACAACCACUCAAGCCACAACAAGCACUCAUGCCAACAAGAGUCGGUCCACACCAACUGCCCAAAGCACUCAAGGCACAUAGUAGAUUUAUUUUUGUCUAGCGUAAUUGUUAGUUAUUUUAUUGAACUUGAUCCCAACUGUUUCUAUGACUUCAUUUUAAUUGUUGUUAAGACAAUUUAUUUUUUGUAUUUAUGAAUUUCUGAUGCAUUUCUCAGUAAUUGUAAGACAUAAUUUCAAGAUUUGUGUUUUGACAAAAUGACAAGGUAUUUGCCUUAAAUUUUAAUUUCAUUAUCAUUGUACGUUGCAACUACAAAUCAAGACAUCUUAAACACAACAACUAGAAAUCAAAUGACAAAUGAUAAUAACAGUGAUAUCAAAACUAGUGCUUGAUCUCUCCGGCUUUCCAUGCCUUCUAUGUCUUCCUUGUUCUGAAUUUGGUAAUGGGUUGUUCAUGCAGUAUUAUUCAUUUGCAUUAGCCCAUCGAAAAAAUCUACAACCAUUACCAGUUGCAUAUUUUUUAUAUCCCAAAAUAUUCUUCCAGAAUUAGUUGGUGUCCUUGGCAUCUUAAGAUCAACAUAAAGCCCACAAUCAAACAUAAAUUAUUAUGGUGAAAUAAAACACAAUGAUAAAAAUGAUAAUAAAAUUAGACUGUAAACGCAUGAAAAAGAGAGGAGUAUAACGACGGCUAAAAAAAUUAAUGGAGAAGAAAUUUGAAUAGAGAGAAAUCGAGAAAAAAACCAAAAAAGUGGAAAUUGAUCCAACAAUGGUACUGGAGCAAAUGGAAAGAAGAUGACUUGUAUAAUCCUUAAUUUUGACUGUUGGGGCCCUUUUUUAAAGUCUCACACUCCUUUUUUUAUUUGUAUCACAUGCUCCUAUGUGGUUUAUGCCGCAUAGAAUAACAUGUUAAGAAAAGAAUUUAAAAUGUUGUGAUCUGUGGAGGAGGAGUUCAAAUGACAAACUCAAGUAAAGGUGUCCACUUUACAAACUCGAAUAAGUACAAGGUGUUGACACCUAAUUUUUGCCCUCUACGACUAAAGUUUAGCCCUGAGUUUCUUUGCUUUUAAAUAAAAUUAUAAUAUUUAUUUUAUCCGAAUAAAAAUUCUUUCAAGUAUUUAUCUAGGUAAAUUGGUCAUCUUAAGUAACGAUUAUAUGUUCUCGCAUCCAUACAUACGAGAUUGUGUAAUUUCGUUACUUAAAUAAUCACUUUACAAAAAUUGGAUUUUAAUCAAGGGUUAUCUUGAAAAUUAAUUCAAAUGGUUAAAAUUUUGAUCUAAAUAUAAUUUAGUCUAAAAAAAUUUAUUUAGAAAAAUAUCUGUUGGAUUUUAUUAAAUCAAGAAACUCGAGAUUAAAUUGAUUGUUAAUUUAUUUUAAAUUUUGGAUUCAAUUAAGUCAAUUCAUCGAUCUUGGCCAUAAUUGAAAUUAAAUAGGCCAAAAUUAUAAAGCAAAUUGGCUGAUUAAUUGUCAAUAUGACCAAGAUCUAAAUGAACUAACUAAAUCCCUAUUCAAAAUGGCUAUAUGUUAAAUGACCCAAGGUUUGGCCUAAAUAACUCUUUCUUAUUUUUGCAAUUGGGCCACAAUGGCAGCUCAACAAAACAAUAACAACAAUAUCAGCAGACCAGCAGCUUAUACAAAUGAUCCCAGCCCAACCUUAACACCAGACCCGGCCCCACUACACCUUUUUCAUUCCACAGAAUAUAUCCAACAGCAACAGUAUCAACAAAGACGCAUACAACAUACGGCUCUCAACAAAUAGCGAGCAACGGCAAUACCAAUGCCGACCAGCGUUCGGACCACCGAAUAUUAGGAAAUUCAGUGGUUUUUUCACCUCUUCCUUCGUCUGCUCUCUCUUGUCACCAUCCCAUCAAUUUCUCAGCUGAAGCAAAACAAAUUUCAAGACCUUGUAAUCUCUGAAAGUAGUAGAAAAUUGAGUACCCAUCGGUUAUAAAGUAUUUUUUUCUUUGAUUCGACGGCUUUCGGGCUUAAAUCUACGGGUCCAGACCUCUCUACCUUCAAAUCGUCACUUUUCAAAUCCAAUUUUUGAAACUCUCCAAAGCUUCUCAAAGAAGCUGUUACCCAUCUAAUUUGGCCUAUAAAAUGGGGGUUUAAGGAGUAGAGAAGGGGAUCAGUUCAUACUCUCUUAUUCACUACUUUCUCUACUUUUUUUUGGUUAUACUUGCCGUUGUCCUGAUUUGCUCUCACGUUUCUCUGGUUGUUUUCUUUCAUUCGGCUGAGUUCGUAGUCGAAGAUAGUGGCGGAAUCGUUAUUAGAUUCGUCUUCCUGGCUCGCUGCCAUAGAAAAGGUCAGUAACAUCUCUUACUCGUCUAUUCUAUUUCGUCAAAAUUUUGUUGUUUGUGUUGUUGCUUAGACUGCCUGUUUGGCCGAGGAUCUAUGUGUUUAGUUUGUGUUUUCUUUACGCUUUGUUUUUGUUCCGAUGUGCUGACCGUUCGGUUGAGAUCAUUAUGGAAUAGUUCUUUACCGCUAACGUUGUUUCGGGACAGUUUGGUUAACUUUAUUUGAGUAAAAAUGGAAAUGUUCUACUUCCUUUUUCACUGCUUGUUAGUCGGCUGUUUUAGUUUUUGAUAUAGUAGAGGGAUUUCCUUGUGAACAUUAAGGUGAAAUGGUGAACAUCUUAUGGUGUUUGUCGCUUUAUGUGUACCUUUUAUCCAUAAAGUGCUCGACGUAAAAGAAUCACAAAGUAUUUGAUUAAGCUUAUAAGUUGAUCCAUUUGACAUAUAAGAAUCUUUUGACUUGUCACUUAUCUACGCGUUUGGUUAUUGUUUUGGAUUUGAUAGGGAUUGAAAGUUAUAAAGAGGAGAAAGUAAAAAGGAUUUUGGGUGGAGAAUUUUUGGUGUAAAAAGAUGGAUGAUCAUUUUUCAUAUUAGUUUUGGCUGGAGUAGCCAUUUUUCUGUUAAUCUCAUCAAAGAUGGGACAUGACUUUUUUGUUAUAUGAAAAAUAACUCUCAUACACUCCAAAUUUCCUGCAAGACAAUUUGUCACAUCAUAUACGUGUGUUCAGAUGACAUAUUUUUAUUAAGAUCAUCUCUGGUUAAUCACUUAGAAAAUUAAUAUGAUAUAUCUUGUAAAAUGUUCAAUUUAAAGGGCUAAUCAGAUAUUUAGCCUUCUUUAUUUGAAAGAAGAAUAGAUAGUGAAUCUUGUAUGAUUAUUUUGACUUCUUAAUUGACUCAAGGCUCUUGAAUUCAAAUAGAGACCCUGAUGAUAAUGUUUGGAAGAAAAAUUGUUAGAGUUGUUUGAUUUUACAAAUAACAUUAAGAUACAAAAUUUAUUGAAUAAUAUAUUUUGUUUGCAUGCUCUAUACGUAAAAUAAAUUAAAUACAAAAUAAAGUGUCAUUUAAAAUUUUUGAUAUGUUUAUUAUAAGCAAUAUAAUAUAAGAAUUAUUUUGAUUAAAUUGCUUUUAUAUUUCUCAAACUUUUCAGAUUAUUGAUAAGAGUAAAAUAAAAUUUUAACAUUAAGUACGAGGUGAGAAAUAUUUUGUUGAUAUUCACAUAUCGGCUAAUUAAAUUAUCAAGAUAUAUAAAACAGGAAAGUGCUUAUUUUUGUUCUUAAUUUUGACCGAAAGGACAAUUUUAUCUUUAACUAGUAAAGUAGCCGUGCUUUGCGUGGUCAUGAAAUUGCUUGUGCUUUAUGCAGUCGUGGAAUAAAGGUUAAAACUUUUUUUUUUUUUCAUGAAACGUUAAUGUGUUUUCAUGUAAAAUGAUGUCUAAUAUCUUCUUCAUGCGUUCUGGAAAACUUCCAUAGCACUUCUGAAAUUGUUCUGUUCAAAGGAUGCAUCAUAAUUAUCCACGAUAUGCGUUUGAAGUAACGCCUAUUUGAGGAAAAAGUAUGAUUAGUCUUAAAUUCUAAAUCUCUAAAUAUUAGCAUGUUCUUAUUAUUUCUAAUUAGCCUCAAUGCUUGGGUACGAAAUAGUAGUGACCGCCAUGGAAAUAUAUUUGCAUAUAUUUGUUUUAUGUGGGAAUAGUUAAAUCGUUUGUAUGUGGCAUUUUCAUUUAUCAUGUUUAAUUGUGUUCUUUCUUCAUCGAAACUUGGGUAUCUAAUCCUUAUCUUCUUUUAUGGCAUGAACUCCCUUGUUGAGUCCAUCGUACUCUUAUAUAUCGCUUUCCGUUGGGUUAAACCCAACCUCCAUCAAUUCACAAAUGGACUUACAUAUGCACAAACAAGAUGGUAUACAAUUGUAUACCCCUGAUAUACAUUAGGAGUCAGCAGGUGCGCGUCAUACCGUGGUCUAUGAUGAAAAGUGGAGUCAAAAUAUGCAGCUUACCACACUGAUAUACACUUUAUAUGCAGCGGUAUACACAAAAAACGCAGGGAAUAAGCUGCUUAUAUACAACAGAUAUACAGGGGCAAAAAUGGGCUAAAGUCCAUGGAAUUGGUCCAAUAUUGGACAGAUUUUUAAUGGGCCAAAAAGGGGCCCAAUUCUCACUCUUCUCUCUUUAAUUAUCUAUUCCAACUUAUUUGUAUGGGCAAAAUUCAGAUAUAGCAUACUUAAGAGCCUAAA